rnacentral:rRNA from 1 species
UACUCGAGUGGCGAACGGGUGAGUAACACGUGGGUGAUCUGCCCUGCACUUCGGGAUAAGCCUGGGAAACUGGGUCUAAUACCGGAUAGGAGCCAUUUUUAGUGUGAUGGUUGGAAAGUUUUUUCGGUGUAGGAUGAGCUCGCGGCCUAUCAGCUUGUUGGUGGGGUAAUGGCCUACCAAGGCGGCGACGGGUAGCCGGCCUGAGAGGGUGGACGGCCACAUUGGGACUGAGAUACGGUCCAG